CUGUGCUCUUCCGUUCUAUAGUAAGUUAUCUCAAUUGAUUGUUGACAGUCAGUUACAGAUAAAACUCCUUAUUCUACUCUUUCCCCCCUUCUCACUACUGCACUUGACUAGUAUUUAAAAAAAAAAAA